rnacentral:ncRNA from 2 species
GUAUGGUGCGAGAGUCGAGGUUCUUCAGAGCGGUCCGCCGUCCUGUAGCUAAGAGGGAAGCCGGUGUGAGGCCGGCGCUGCCCCCGCAACUGUUAGCGGUGAGUUCGUCGCCUACCGAAGUCACUGGGGCCUUGCGUCCCGGGAAGACAGGCGACGAGCGCUGACCCGCGAGCCAGGAGACCUGCCCCGACAGAUGAACGUCC